ACACCUUCAAGCACAGCUUGGUGUUGGGCGUCUGUCCUGCCGCCGGCACGGACUCGCCUCAAAAUCAUUGGCAGCCACUUCAGCGGCUUUGAGCGCAGCAGAUUUGCGUCUCGGGCAGCGGAAAGCGGUAUCCAUAAGCUUUUUUACA
rnacentral:misc_RNA from 1 species